CUGCAGCCAGCUGCCUACAGCAGAACAAGAACUUACCUUGGAGAGGGGAGCAGCUGUGACUUUGAAAUGUGAUCAGUUACUUUAGUGCAGCCCAAAGAACCAUAGCUGAGGAGGACUCAAGACAACAAUUAAGCACGUUGUCUUGUUAAAGCAAGAUGGGGUCCAGUAUCAAUGAAUCCUGACUUGAGAAUGUGUGUGUCAUGGCCUUGAACUUCAUCAGCACCCCAGACUGAAGCAGGAGAGCAACCUGGAGGAGGACUAGCCUCAGAGAAGUAACAAGGACUAAGAAUGGCAACCUUUGCACCUGCUGCUCUCUGAUAAUUAGAACUGAGUCUCACCUGCCCAGGUUUGAAUUCAAUACAAUUGGGAAGAUGAUAGAAGUCAUCCUUUCUCCUGGUUUCUAUAUCCCCCCUUGGUCCUCUGGUGACCUUAAAAGUCACAACAC
rnacentral:lncRNA from 1 species